GGUCCUUGUCCAUGGCUGUGUUACUUUUGCUGUUACCACUUCAGAGAGUUCCAGGGAGAACAACUGAGAGCUCUUCAUGCUACUGACAACUUACAGUGAAGAUGAAAAUUGAAUGUUAAUAAAUGUGAACCUAUCACUUUGAUGGCUUUCCAACACAAGAAGACUUCAGAGGGAAACGUUUUCUUUAUUACAGUGGAUAGUAAGCAUGCCAUCUCUGUCAUUCAAAGUUAUUCAUUAUGGAAACAUGCUUAAAAAGAUCCAGAUGAAAAGACAGUCAGCGCUUCUGUUCCCAAGAUGUGUCAAAAUGUGAGAGGCCCACGGAUAAUUGCUUUCCAACAUAUUCUAUCAUUUGGAUGUACUUAAAGGCUUGUACAGAUUUAACCAGAAAAUGGAAAUAGAAGACAUAUACAUAAACAUAACUACAGAUCACCAGGUGUUGGCAAGAAGUCAAGAACAAAGAAGAAAACUAGCAUCGUAGAGAAAAGAUAAAAUUCUUAUGAAAGGAAAAUUUAAAACAGCCAUCUUCAACAGGAUUCCAGGGAAUACUGCAUCAUUAAAACAAAAGCAUGCUGCUAUAAAAAAAGAGUAACCAGAAAACCAGAAGAUUUCCUGGAAUUUAAAACAAUACUUCCAGAAGUAAAAUAUUUUAAAACCAUGAUUGUGGAAGCAAAAUUAUGCAUAGAAGGGCUGCCUGAUAGGUGAUCUGGAAAAUAAAAUCAUGUCAAGAAAAAUCUCCAAGAAUGAAAAAAGAAAGGACAGAUGAAAAUUAGAUGAUGUCUUUGAAAAUCUUUUGAAUAUAAUACUGUAUAUGAUGCUAUACUGCACUAUGUAGUAUAUACAUAUAUAUGUAUAUAUUACAACUAUAAAUGUAAUGUAAUACAUAGUGGAAGAAUUCUAGAUAUUUGAACACAAAGUUGGGGCAAACAUAGGCAUUUUAUGUAUAAAUAUGUGUGCAUAUCUGUGACCAUUAAUUAUGAGAUGUCAACUUGACCAGACUAAGAAAUGCCAAGGGGAUUUUUAAGCAUACUCUGGGUAUUCCCAGUCACGGGGGGCGACUGGAGGUAGUCUGUAUGGUCCUUUGCCCUUCUUCUCUGGAACUGUUUUCCUGCUUUUCUUUCUGGUCACCGUGAAGUAAGCAGCUUUGGUCCACCAUACCCUACUGCCAUUAUUUUCCUGCCUUAGAGCCACCAGCCAUGGACUGAAUCCCCUAAAACCAUGAAGCAAAUUAAACUUUUCCUCCUUAAGUUGUGGGUGGUGGGCAUUGUGUCCUAGUGAUAAGAAAGCUGUUAGAGAAUAUUGGUACCAAGAAUGCAGUCAAUGCUGUAAUUGUACCUGAGCAAUUCGAUGUCCAUGUACAUGUAUCGAACUAAGCAGUUACAUAAUAUCACUAAAUCUCUCUCUUCCAUAAGACCUUUUGUACUGUAGAAUUAUUUCUCACCAUUUUGGAAAUUAUACAGAUAUUUGGAAAUCACAAGAUGUAGUUUCAUAUAGGCUGGAUGUGUGGUUUCAUACAUUUCUGUGAUUAUAGGGACACAAUGACCUUUGCAUAGGUAUACAGGAGACAGACCAUGGUCAUUUCAUAAUCUGGAUCAGUUUUUCCAGCUUCUUCAAGAAGUGGCUAGA